AUUGAACGCUGGCGGCAUGCCUUACACAUGCAAGUCGAACGGUAACGGGCCUUCGGGUGCCGACGAGUGGCGAACGGGUGAGUAAUACAUCGGAACGUGCCCGAUCGUGGGGGAUAACGAGGCGAAAGCUUUGCUAAUACCGCAUACGAUCUACGGAUGAAAGCAGGGGACCGCAAGGCCUUGCGCGGACGGAGCGGCCGAUGGCAGAUUAGGUAGUUGGUGGGAUAAAAGCUUACCAAGCCGACGAUCUGUAGCUGGUCUGAGAGGAUGAUCAGCCACACUGGGACUGAGAAACGGCCCCGACUCCCACGGGAGGCAGCAGUGGGGAAUUUUGGACAAUGGGCGCAAGCCUGAUCCAGCCAUGCCGCGUGCAGGAUGAAGGCCUUCGGGUUGUAAACUGCUUUUGUACGGAACGAAAAGCCUUCUUUUAAUACAGGAGGGUCAUGACGGUACCGUAAGAAUAAGCACCGGCUAACUACGUG
rnacentral:rRNA from 1 species